AAAUUGUAAAAGGGUGUUGGAGCGAUAGUCUGAGAGUCAGAAUGUCUAACAACAUUCUCCCAAAAAGGGGGGGAGGUGUGGUGCACCAGUCAAAAGAUGUGCCCACCUCCUGUAAAAUCAAUUCGGUGGUAACACAAAAAACAUAUAUGCUGACGCGAACGAUAAACCAACAUUGAGGCUCCACGCAUGUGCAUGAAGCUCGAUUAACAGUUCGAUCAUUCGCGAUAGGCAACGAUCGGACCAUUAUUAUUUUGUCACGCUGACCUCAGCAUAUGCGCUCCAGAACUCUUUACCCAUUACUUCUAGGCAAAUUCAAUUAUGUAGCACCCACUAGGUGCAACACUUUUAGGCCUAUAUAAGGAUUUUUGAAUCAAUGAAUAGACAGUUCAAUUCGGUCUUUGGACCAAGUAA